ensembl:lncRNA
GGAAAGCAGAGACCAGCUCAGGACUCAUGAUACCUUUGCCCUAACCUCAAGGCCUUAUCCAGUCUUACCCUUCAUCCCACAAACAACUGGCCAUCAACUGGGCGAUUUUCUUGCCUCUGCUCCCCCAUGGGAAAUGCCAGCCGACUGUAAACGCCCAUGCCCUGAGAGCCUGGCAAGCUGCAUGGCACUUACGUCUGCUGUCUCUGGGAAACAGCACUGACUCCAGAGUUUGCGAGGCGAUCAAGUCGAAGAGCUGAAGAACGGCCUCAAGAUCUUUUUGCCCAGAGCGCCCUCUGGUGGCCAACUGGAUGGCAACCAUUCUCCUUCACUGUGUGAGAUGCUAAGUGGUUGGAGCCAGAGUCUUGUUUUCACUGUUCCUCUUGGGACUUGCUCCUCCCCAGUUAAUGCGCUCUGGUGUCCACUCUGUACAACACAUAUUUACUUCUUACUGCAUCCCUGGAAUAACUGACUCCCGGCCAAUAUUGUUUCUCUGUAUGAGUCACACUGAGACUGGAGCUGAGGGAACUCAAGACAACAAGGCACGGUUCACGCCCCUGAGGAAUUGCCCACUUUCCAGGAGAGAGCCGGACCAGUCCCUGGGCGUCUUCCAACAGACCUCCCCUCUCUCCCCGUGCCACGUCUCCUACGGUUCCUCGGGCGCCCACCCCUCGUGCCCUCCACCCUGCAUUGACCAGCUGGAUUCCUGAAACCUGCAUUGGCCUGUGUACAGUUUGGGCACUGUCUGAAUCAAUAACGGGAAAACGGUUCCUGAACAGGAGCAGCGGGGAAUUAGAAAAAUCUAACGAAGCCUGAUUGUAAAGUCCUGGAAGGGAGACAAAAAGGGGCCUUUCCUAUGGGUCGAAUGGGACCUACAGAGAGGGUGACUCCCGGAGAAUUCAGAGGAGGGAACAAAGAGUUCACUCUGGGGCCAUGGUGGCAGGUAGCGGUUAGAAGCUGGAGAAAGGAGGGAAUGGAACUCCAAUGGCAAUGACAAUAACUUCCUGACAAGAAUGACAGGAGGAAGCUGGGAGCAAAGACAGGAGUGCUUGGGGCAUGUUUGAAGGAGGGCUCUUGGCUUAUCUUACCUGGAUUGGAGGGUUGAGGUAUAUUUGUCUUUUACGAGGCCUAAAGAUGGUUUUUCUUAGGGCAGAGGGGAGCCAUUGAGGGUUAGGGACCAGGAGAGUGGCGUGAUGAAAGGUAUCUUGGCAUAGAUCCAUAAACAAAUGUUUCCUUCCCACACUGGUUUCUGUGACAAGGCCUCAGACUGCGGUUCCUGCAGGAGCCCCAUGUGCCUGCCUGGGUACCACCCCUGCAGGUAGGAGCUGCUCUCCUGCCCUCAGUGUCCCCCUGCAGUUUUCAGCCUUUCUGCUACUCGAGCGAGUGAGGAAGCUGGCCACGGACCUCACCCAGAGAGAGUGAACUUGAGGCCAGCUGGACACUUGAGGGAAGGAGACCAGCCAUGGAACAGGGGUGUGGGUCCCAGGCCUCUUGGGCUUUACCUGAAUCUGCCACCUGCCAGCUGAGGGGUCUUUAAGCAAACCCUGUGUCCUCUCGGUCUUGGGGACCUGCUGGCAGCCAUGCCACCCUCUCCCUGUCACCCAAGCAGCUUGGCCUUUCACUUGGGUUCCAGAUGCAAAUGCAGAGUUUGCUGGAGACUUGGUGUUCUCUGAGAAGCUAAAGUGGGCCACAGUGCUCAGAUGUCCAAGUCAGUCUAUUCCUAUAAUUAAAAAACAAUGAUAACAAUAAUCAUAGCAUCUACUGAGCAAGUACUACAUACAAGGCACUCUGCUAAGCCCUCUAAAUACACAAGCUAUUUUCAUCCUUACAAUAAACCUGUGAUGUAGGUAUUAUGAUGCCCACUUUGGAGAUGAGGUUAAUGAAGGUGAAGUGACUUGUCCGAGAAAGUCCCAAAAUUGGGAUUUGAAUCCUCUAACUCCAGAACCCAAGUCCUCAGCCCCUGUGGCAGUGAUUCUAAAGGGUCCACCCUCCACCCUUCACGCAGGCUGAGCUCCAUUUGUCCAUGUGUACAGCCUGCUGGGCCACAUGCACAGGUCUGCUGACUCUCCUCCAGCUGUAGCCUGGCUUCACACCUUCCUGGAUAAAUAAUGCCACAGCUGCAAAAACCUAACAGCCAAGUUCAGCUGUGGGUGGAAAGCACACUUUAGUGGCUGGAGCCCAGAGGUGGCUUCCAUUUGUCCCGAGUAUUUGAGGUGGCUGUGGGGAGCAUGGAAGAAGGCCAAAGCAGAAGGUGUUUGGUAAGGAAUGCUAUUAUUUCUCCUUCGAGAGAUUCAUUUGCUCAGGGAACAAUUCACGAUUAUUUGCAAUUGGCAUCUAGUUUCUAUGCAAAAGAGAGGCAGAAAACGGCAGAGUGGUCUCUGAAGCUAACAGUCCUGAUGCUCGUCUUGGCUCUCCUUCUCCCUAGUUGGGUCAACUUGGGCAAAUCACUUCACCUCUCUGAGACUCAGUUUCCUCGUGUGUUAAAUGGGUAUGCUACAGAACCACUUCAUAGAUCGAGCGAGAUGAUCCCUAAUAGAUCCUUAACACAGGGGCUCAGCAAGCGGGAGCUAUUAUUAAUAAAAUAGAUGCAC